rnacentral:tRNA from 1 species
GGAAGGAUGGCCGAGCGGUUUAAGGCACCGGUCUUGAAAACCGGCAGGCGAAUAGCCUCGUGAGUUCGAAUCUCACUCCUUCCGCCA